rnacentral:rRNA from 1 species
GAUGAACGCUAGCUACAGGCUUAACACAUGCAAGUCGAGGGGCAGCAUGACGAUAGCUUGCUAUUGUUGAUGGCGACCGGCGCACGGGUGAGUAACGCGUAUCCAACCUGCCCUUGUCCACCGGAUAACCCGUCGAAAGGCGGACUAACACGGUAUGCAGUCCACAGCAGACAUCUAACGUGGACGAAAUGUGAAGGAGAAGGAUGGGGAUGCGUCUGAUUAGCUUGUUGGCGGGGUAACGGCCCACCAAGGCGACGAUCAGUAGGGGUUCUGAGAGGAAGGUCGCCCACAUGGGAACUGAGACACGGUCCAAACUCCUACGGGAGGCAGCAGUGAGGAAUAUUGGUCAAUGGGCGAGAGCCUGAACCAGCCAAGUAGCGUGCAGGAAGACGGCCCUAUGGGUUGUAAACUGCUUUUAUACGGGGAUAAAGUGAGUCACGUGUGGCUUAUUGCAGGUACCGUAUGAGUAAGGACCGGCUAAUUCCGUGCCAGCCGCCGCAGUAA